ACUAACAUGAUUUCUCUGCAUGUAUGUUUGUUUGCAUAAUGAGCCCCUUAUUUUUAUACUUGGACAAAAGUACUAUAAGCCCACUACACUUUUUCAUGAGAGUGGGAUGCAUGAUUGUUUAUAUGAUGAGCCCUUUAUUUUCAUAUUGGGACAAAAAGUCACUUCAUUCAAAACGUCAAACACCACAUUCUUUCUGCCCUGUGUGUUUGUUGCAGAGAAUUUAUGUUGUAAAUUUAGAAGAGAGCAAAAUUUAUAUUUUCAGCGUUCCAACACAUGCUUAAUUUUGUGCUGUAAGCUAACUUGUAGUAUUCCAGUACGUCACAUGUUGUAUGUGCUUUAAAUUGUAUGUAUUCUGUAAAUUGUUGUAUGGGGUUGCUGAGAUUUUAUUGAUUGUGACCCAAACUGUGAAGAAGUGGGUUUGAAAUUUUGGUCAUGGAAUGUAGGAUCAGAAAACCAUGGACAAAGGUUUUAACCUGUGUUGAUAUGACUUUUGGAAACUCAAACUGACCGGUCAAAAUUUUGCCAUGCCUUUAACAUGGAGUAGUAUAAAUAUUUUGAGUCUUUGAGAGUUCUGACAAAUGCAGGUGAUACCAUGUCUGUGUAAUCUGGUCCAAAUGUUCUAUAAGUGUAUAAGAGAGAAAUUCUAUUGACAGGGUACAUAUGUUGCAACUGGUUAAUGCAAG